rnacentral:tRNA from 1 species
UUUCCACCCGGCCUUUCUCCGAGAUCUGUGGCCUGAAAAGCCACCGUUAAACUAUCUUUAACUAUAGAAAC